UUAGAUAAGUGUAAGUUGAAGAAAAUCAUUUUUCCUAUGGAUGACGAGUGAAUCCAUGAUAAGGCCAUCUGGAAAAAGAAAACUGAGACCCUUUAGAAGAAUUUGAGUCAUCUAAUUAUAGCCUAAUUACGGCAAUGGCUCUUGUUCCUGCAAAAGACUUCUGGAACCAUCUCUGAAGGUCCUCUCAUUUGCUGUUUGGAAGUGGGAGUUGGUGACCCUCGGAGUGGACUAAAGGGACAGGGGAAAUUCCAGCAUGAACUAGUGAAAUGACUGGUGUCACUAUUCUGUAAGAAAACCAAUUACAGAAUCAUUGAACCAACUGAGAGAUGAAAACAGCCUAUCAGCAAACUGCUCCCAGAGAAGUCCACCUGAAAACAUCCAACUCAUUCUCCACAAAGGCACUCGCUUGCUGGAAAACGGAAUA